ensembl:lncRNA
UCGAUCGGUCGGCGGCGGGUCAUAGGUUCAACAGGACGGCAUGGGGCCGUUCCAAAACAACCCCGGGGCGGUGCCGGGGCCGGCGACGAGGCCUUGAAUAAGACCGACUUAUCACAGGCGCCGUGCCCAGAUUUAAACCGACCUAUCACAUGCAGCGGGCCCAGAAUAUAACCGUCCUAUCGCGAGCGGUGUGCCGAGGAUAAUACCGACCUAUCAAAGGUCUUCCACAAUCCCCAAAUGUCCGCAGUACAUAACCUGUAAGCAUCUGAUUUCAAUAGGUCAGUUGUCAUCAUUCAUUUCAUUUAACAUUUGGUCAUUCAGCAGACAGAUUUAUACAAAGCGACUCAGAGGGCAGGCUGAGAGCGAUCCAAACACAAACGGGAGUCACCAGAGCAUCAAUUCAGAUAUUAACAACCGUGGAUGUCAACCAAGGUUCUCCCCCAACGCCAAUUCUCCUCAAACUCUCAGAGCUGUCUUCCCCACACCCCCGUGAAUGCCUCUGCUCUGUCUGCAGUCAGUCCACCACGCUGCACUGCGCCUACCGGCUGCGGUGGCACCUCCGCUGUAAUUGGAUAAUACUGAUGUUAAUGCUAGCAAUUAGCACCAAAGUGUCUGGGAGUUAACCCUGCGGUAGUGCUGCGGCUCUGGCUAAACGGCUAGCACAGCAGAUGCUGUGGAGAUCGAUGAAGGCUGGAGGGGGAGGUGCGGGAGGACGGCCGCGAGGCCCCGGAAGUGGUGCCCGGACGCCAUCGUUAGACGCUCGUGGUGAGGGCUGAGCCGACACGCGCUCGCCCGGGUUCCAACAGGAAACAGUUCCGCCGUUGGUCGCGCUGGUUCUCGGCGGCGGCGGCGGCGGCGAUAUCGCAGAUGACAGGAGAACGGAAGGACUACAGCAGCUGCACACACGCACAUAAUCAUAUCUUUGAGGCUGCCGGCGCGCACUGGGCUGGAGGGUGGGAUUACGGGAUUACAUUAAAACAUUAAAACGUAUACCAGAGAUAGGCGCUGGCUCAGCUAGCCGGCCUGCGCCGUAGCGCCGUGGAGCAGGUCGGCGACGCGCUUGUUGAUGCCAAUUAGCAGAUGUAAUUCCUGUGGUUAUGAAGUAUGGCUGCUGAUGAUGUGUUUCUACAUAAACACCUCAGUAAGACUGGGGGAGAGCAAACAAAACAC